ACGAACGCUGGCGGCGUGCCUAAUACAUGCAAGUAGAACGCUGAAGGAGGAGCUUGCUUCUCUGGAUGAGUUGCGAACGGGUGAGUAACGCGUAGGUAACCUGCCUGGUAGCGGGGGAUAACUAUUGGAAACGAUAGCUAAUACCGCAUAAUAGCAGUUGUUGCAUGACAACUGUUUGAAAGGUGCAAUUGCACCACUACCAGAUGGACCUGCGUUGUAUUAGCUAGUUGGUGGGGUAACGGCUCACCAAGGCGACGAUACAUAGCCGACCUGAGAGGGUGAUCGGCCACACUGGGACUGAGACACGGCCCAGACUCCUACGGGAGGCAGCAGUAGGGAAUCUUCGGCAAUGGACGGAAGUCUGACCGAGCAACGCCGCGUGAGUGAAGAAGGGUUUCGGAUCGUAAAGCUCUGUUGUAAGAGAAGAACGAGUGUGAGAGUGGAAAGUUCACACUGUGACGGUAUCUUACCAGAAAGGGACGGCUAACUACGUG
rnacentral:rRNA from 1 species